ACGCGAAGAACCUUACCAGGUCUUGACAUCCAGUGCAAACCUAAGAGAUUAGGAGUUYCCUUCGGGGACGCUGAGACAGGUGGUGCAUGGYUGUCGUCAGCUCGUGUCGUGAGAUGUUGGGUUAAGUCCCGCAACGAGCGCAACCCUUGUCAUUAGUUGCCAUCAUUAAGUUGGGCACUCUAAUGAGACUGCCGGUGACAAACCGGAGGAAGGUGGGGAUGACGUCAAGUCAUCAUGCCCCUUAUGACCUGGGCUACACACGUGCUACAAUGGACGGUACAACGAGAAGCGAACCUGCGAAGGCAAGCGGAUCUCUGAAAGCCGUUCUCAGUUCGGACUGUAGGCUGCAACUCGCCUACACGAAGYUGGAAUCGCUAGUAAU
rnacentral:rRNA from 1 species